GUCUAGCAUUGUCUAUAAAGCGGAAAGCCACCGCCUCCCUUCUUAGGGCAGUUUAGUCCAUUCCGUCCUCAGGACUCCCCUCCUUGUCCAUCUCCCGGCCGAUGCCCCUCCGCCUCCUGCUCUUCUCUGUUUAGGUGGCACAAGUGUAAGCAGCGUUUGACCCUCUUUAACUGCCUGGAGACUUUCCUCGAUGAACAGUUCAGGGUAACCCCAACCCCCCGCAGCACACACACACCUAGGAAUCUCCUUUUGGGGACCCGGCGCGGCACCGUAAGGUGGCGGAAGACUUUGGCAAAGAAGGAGUUCCCUGAAUCACAAAAGACGCACCCCAGAUGGGAAACGCAGUUUUUUCGAGGCAAGUUAGAUGGAUUUCAAUGGGAUGCACUUCCCUAGUAAUAAGAAUGGUCAGGUGAACCAAGAAGGCAGCGCUCGUGCCCCUUUAGUUGCUGCGUGAGAGAGGACAUUUCAGCUGCUAUGGUUUAUCAUGCAACCUAUAGUUAGUAAAUUUCCCUUUUCUGUGGAGCAACUGAAGGUGCAGGAGUCCUGUUCUCCUCAUUAUCCAGCGAUUCAAACUUGAGUCUUAUUUCCUUUUCAACACAUCUCACCCUAAAUCCAAGUGUCCAGAACACCUCUUAAUCCUGAAGGAGAAAAGAGCGUUGCGGCUGCGCUGCGUCAAUGUGUUUUAAUGCCAUGUAUACAGAAAGCUCGGCUGUCAGGGGAUUAGCCAGGCAGCUUUGCAGUCUCGAACAUUUAAAACCUUUUCUGGAAAGAGAAGUCGAACUGACACGCAGCCUCUACUGAUGCGUGUUUACUCAGGAGGAAACUGAUGGUGUUUCUUGCUUGGCAGGGGGUUGGACUCGAUGGCCCUUGUGGUCUCUUCCAACUCUAUGAUUCUAUUCUAUGAAACCCCGUGGAACUGGGCUUAGCCCCAAGUAAGCAUAUGGACUCAAAAAUGCAAUGCCUCUUGAGGUCAAUAGUCGCAGGUUAGUGGGUGAAGAAGAACUGCAGCUUUGCAGCCCCAAACUAUGCAUGCUUACGCAGACGUAGGCUCCUCUAUGCUCAACCAACCAAGCAACUUACUCCCAAGCAAGUGUCCUAACUGAGGAGUCAGCUCCACUGAUCUGAACUGAAAUUCAUCACGGUUUUGAUCGGGUAAACUUGCACCCAACUGGAGGGGAUUUAGUUCUUUGGAAAUCUGCGAGACUAGCAAUAUUUUGGGAUUUGGGGGUGGCUGAAUUGGACCCACAGAAACAACGUGGCUCCCUGGACUAAUCCUGACUUGGUUUCAUGCAACAUUGCUUCAAUAUUGAUCUAACAGACUAUUUCCCCUUUCCUUUCCUUUUUUUAACGGAUGAAAUUGCUUCAGAAGUCGACUUUCUCUAAAGGAAAAAGACCUGAGGGGGGAAAUAACAAGAAACCUCACCCGCCCGCCCGCCCGCCCCUGGCGCUUUACACCCGUACAUGUUAACUCAACCAGUUAAGAAUAGACCCGCCGGUUCGCUACUCUGUCAAGAAUUCUGCCAUUCACCGCUGUAAUAGAAGGGCAGAAAUCAUCUAAUUGUGCAUCCCUAUUUUAUCCCCGUCUUCUCCUCCCCCCACCAACUCUUUUCUUUACUUCCCAUCAAAACAAAACCAAACCAAAAAAAGCCCCACACCUCUUUCUCUGUUGGGAGUCUGGUAAUGACAUGCAAGGAUGGGCUGAAAGACAACCAGACAUCAAAGCACAAAGAAAAUGACAUUUCCCGCACUUUGAUAAGAAAGUCACACUCCUCACUUUCGCCCCCUCCCCUCUCUCCUUUCUUAAAGGCAAACCCACCAGCCCCCAAGGGCGGCCGCAAGCUCUGAGUUGGCACCCAAAACCUUCUUCUUUUUCGCAUUUUGCAUCUUUUGCCGCCACCCCUUCGUAAACAGGGCAAGUCCCUUGGGUGCCCCAGAGGUUUGUUGGACUUGGGGGCCGGGCAAAACAGCAACAACAUUUAUUGGGGAUAAGGAAACCCUGGUGUGGGGGUGGGGAAGACACACGCUUGGGACCGAGAUGGAGCUAAUUAUUGCGAGGGGUAAGAAGGAGCUGGAACACCCAAGUCGAACUGAGCCCGUCUCCCGGGAGACUGAUGGAGACCUAUUUUACAAGCUGUAAUUCCGCUUUAGACGAUUGCAGGCUAAAGUCAAUUCACACCCUCUUCUUUCUUCUAGAAAUAUUCCUAAUCCUGCCGUUCAAGCGGGGAAUUCUCUCGCCUUUCGCUCCACCGAUAUUAAUCUAGAAACUUCAUAGAAGGAAGCCGGAUAAUUGUGGGUCGGGUGGGCGGAAAGAAAAGGGGUUCACCCCACCAGUUUAACUACCUCGGCAACGUCUAACCUUCGAAAAAGUAAAAAUUAAACGGGGAGAUAUGUCGUUCGGUGAUUUAUGGUCCCUUGCU
rnacentral:lncRNA from 1 species